rnacentral:rRNA from 1 species
CUACGGGUUGCACCAGUGAGGAAUAUUGCACAAUGGGGGGAACCCUGAUGCAGCAACGCCGCGUGGAGGAUGACGCAUUUCGGUGUGUAAACUCCUUUUAUAUGUCAAGAAAAUGACGGUAGCAUAUGAAUAAGCACCGGCUAACUCCGUGCCAGCAGCCGCGGUAAUAGGAGGGGUGCAAGCGUUACUCGGAAUCACUGGGCGUAAAGGACGCGUAGGCGGGGUGGAAAGUCAGGUGUGAAAUCCUACAGCUUAACUGUAGAACUGCACUUGAAACUUCUAAUCUAGAGUAUGGGAGGGGGGGAUGGAAUUAGUGGUGUAGGGGUAAAAUCCGUAGAUAUCACUAGGAAUACCUAAAGCGAAGGCGAUCUCCUGGAACAUUACUGACGCUAAGGCGUGAAAGCGUGGGGAGCAAACAGGAUUAGAUACCCGAGUAGUC